CAGCUCACCAGCGCUGACACUGAGAGCAGUCUUUGAGUGCUCAGAUUUGGAAUCCCACCACUGGUAAUCUUCCCAAGCAAUCAUCUAGAUACAAAGAAAGAAGAACCACAUAGAAGCAAGACUGCAGUAGGAAUUGAGGCAUGGAACUACACGUCCCGUCAUUGCCUUCUACCCUUUAUAGUGGACAUUUUUGACAUGGCCAUUUCAAAAUAUGACACGGUUCUUAAAAUGUGGAACAUUGAGUGCUCAGCAAAUAAAUAGCAAUGGUUUUAUAAAAGAUCAUUGCAAUAUGAAACACACUUCAUAGACAUGCCAAGGCAAUAUAAUUCAGGAACUGCUGCUGUUAUGAAAGACACAAACAGAUCAAAAUAGAUGGGAGGAAAAUUAAAGACCCGGAAACCUGUUUCCAAGGAGACUCACCUGUGUGGGUGGGCCAAGGGGAAAGGAACAAGAAGGCUUCACUUCGCUACCAAAAGACGGAGCAGUACCUGACAAACUGAGCCAGAUGUAGGUGGGGAAGGAAGAAGUUUAAAAGCUCCUUUUGAACUGUUGGAAAAACACUUCUGGCUUUACAAGCCCCAAGAUGAGUUUAUAAUAAGACUCCCUCUGGCAUCUUGAUUUCUGUCUGUUUCCUAAUUGUUUCUCAUAAUCUACAAUGUCUUACCUACCAGACCUGGGAGUUUAGGGCGUAAGCAAGCAGCAUGAGAAAUAAGAGGUGUAUUUAUAGCAUAGGAUGAAACUUUUGCUGCAGAGGAAUAUUUUGUGUAUAAAGACCCACCUGGGAAGAGUCAGUUUGGACAUUCCAAGUCUUAAAAUAAACCAUAAAGCAACCCAAGGGCCAUCUCUGAGUUACUGGUUACAAACUCAGACGGUAACUUAAUCAAGCUAGAUUAAAAUGUCUCAUUUUGUAGGCACCCAUGGCCAUUCUUCAAGAAAAAAACUGACCACGUUGCUAGCCAUCACUAUGGUAUUUGGCUCCAAUCUUGACUGCAGAAAAUAUGACUUCAGUAACAGAGUUGUUAAUACUUGGAAUACACUACCAGACUCUGUGGUCUCCUCCCAAAAUCCCCAAAGCUUUAACCAAAGACUAUCUACUGUUGACCUCACCCCUUUCCUAAGAGGUCUGUAAGGGGCGAGCAUAAGAGCACCAGUGUGCCUAUCGUUCCUGUCCUAAUGUUUCCUUUCAUUAUAUCCAAUUAAUAUAGUUAUUACUUACUUAUGCUUAUAUAUAUGCUUAUAUACUGUAUAGUUAUUUCAUGCUUAUGCUUAUAUAUA